rnacentral:rRNA from 1 species
UACAGAGGGGGCAAGCGUUGUUCGGAAUUACUGGGCGUAAAGGGCGCGUAGGCGGCCUUCUAAGUCGAACGUGAAAUCCCUGGGCUCAACCCAGGAACUGCGUCCGAUACUGGAAGGCUUGAAUCCGGGAGAGGGAUGCGGAAUUCCAGGUGUAGCGGUGAAAUGCGUAGAUAUCAAGAGGAACACCUGAGGUGAAGACGGGUUGCUUGGCUGACACUGACGCUGAGGCGCGAAAGCCAGGGGAGCAAACGGG